ACCAACCUUAAUAACUGUUAUUGAAAGCCUGUGCAUUCUUUCUUCUUUGGAAUUUCCAGCCCAGAGUUCCACUGAGGCUGUGACAUUUCUCAGCUGUUCCUCUGCUUCCAUUCCCAUCUUCCACUGACGGUCAGCUGAAGCACAACUGCUUCUGCGGUGAACGAUGCAGAGUGGGCCUAACCCUCCCCUACAGGACAGGACCCCUUCUCCUGCCUCUCCAGGGAACAGCCUCUUCUGGCCCCUGAAUCAUCUCCAAGGCUCUGAGGAUGCCCUGGGAGCAAAGACAAUGAGAGGGGACCCUUCUUCCUACUGUCCCAUGUGCUGUUCACGUGAGGCUGGAUAAGUGAAAACAAGCCUACUUCCAAGGCAUCCAAUUGCUUGUACCUAAUAGACAUUGGGUUGCUAAUACCUUGAAAGAGAAUUUGGUCCUCCAAUUAUGAAGCUAAGAUGGUUCUACAGCAAAGCAGGUCACCACAUCAAAGAGACUUCCAUGAACAUGCCUUGUUGACAGCACAGCAUCCACACUGACUGCAAGCAGAGAGCCCUGUGUCCUGUCUCCAUUGCUCCUGACCUGCAGUUUAGCACAGCCACGCAACAGGUGCCCUUUCACAGCCUGCAAAACAAAUACCUAGAAGGCAUGAGCCAGGCGGAUGCUAAGGUACAGGGACAGCUUUCCUCCUAGUUGGAUGUAUUCCAUGUUCAAUGACGUCUGAUUUGAGGCAAACCUGUGGAAAGAUUGCUAGAUGAAGUAAAGGAUUAGGAAGGGAUGGAUGUGGACGUGGGUGCAGCAAUCAAUCCAAAACAGCCCAGGAUGCAAUAAACUUACAUGCAUAGCAAUU